rnacentral:rRNA from 1 species
AGCAGCCGCGGUAAUUCCAGCUCCAAUAGCGUAUAUUAAAGUUGUUGCAGUUAAAAAGCUCGUAGUUGAAUUUCGGGAUCAAUAUUUCGGUCAUGCCGUUGGUAUGCACUGUUAUCAUUGAUUUCUCACCUUCUAAAGAACCGUAAUGCCAUUAAUUUGGUGUUACGGGGAAUUAGGACUGUUACCUUGAAAAAAUUAGAGUGUUUAAAGCAGGCUCACGCUUGAAUACAUUAGCAUGGAAUAAUGAAAUAGGACAUCCGAUUCUAUUUUGUUGGUUUCUAGGAUCGAUGUAAUGAUUAAUAGGGAUAGUUGGGGGCAUUAGUAUUCAAUUGUCAGAGGUGAAAUUCUUGGAUUUAUUGAAGACUAACUACUGCGAAAGCAUUUGCCAAGGAUGUUUUCAUUAAUCAAGAACGAAAGUUAGGGGAUCGAAGACGAUCAGAUACCGUCGUAGUCUUAACCAUAAACUAUGCCGACUAGGGAUCGGAUGAUGUUAAUUUUUAAUGACUCAUUCGGCGCCUUA